rnacentral:lncRNA from 1 species
GGUUCUGCUUAUGUAAUGAGAUCUCAACCAAUGAACGGACCAAGUACAGACAAAUAUAAGGUAAACAUACAUUAAUAGAGUGAGAAAUGUAAAUGAGUGAAAAUUAACUGUUGCUUAUCUUAUGUCUACUAUUUAGUUUAAAAUUGAGAAUGGAAAUUUGGAAUGUGUAUUUAUUUGGCGACAAAAUGAAUAUAAACAUGCACCUUAAUAAUCUGUCAUCAAGAGCUAAUGCACGACAAGUUUAAGGGGGACUAUCGAACAAGCACAACCCAAUGGACAGGGGUCAGUCUUUCCCAAGACCUGAGCAAUGGCAGGCAAAACUAUAAAGCAAGCAGCAAGUUGUAACAGUUUUAUACAAUAACAGAUCUAAAUAAUGAUAAUGUCAAAAUAAUAAACAAAUAAUUAAAAUCCAAAUGUUCUAAAUUAUAAAGUCACUAAUCCAAAAUCAAAGUAAAGUUGAAGGUUCUAAAUGUCCAAAGUUAAGGUUUAAUUAAAAUAAUUCCACUAAACAUUUCAUUAUCACUUGAAGUCCAAAGAUUGGUUGAGUUGAGUUGAUCUAGUUUGAGUUUUUUUUUCCUCAUAUUCAUGGUUUAGUGAUCAGCGUUUAGUGUUUGUGUUUUUCAUAGAUACCAUAAAUAACAGGUUCAACUGUAUUUGGUGAAUAGAAUGAUUUUGAAAGGUGUACAUGGCAGAGUUCGACCGUGACCUCAACUCCCUACCAAAUACUUCUAUAUUCUAAAACAUUAUCACCAUGUGUUUAAUUUCCAUCACAUUUUUUAUCGGGAACUACAAACAACAACGUUCUGAUUGUUUUUAUCAGGUUAAUUGUGAUCAUGUAAUCUGUUAUCAUGUUGUAAAACUAGUCUUUUGUUUUUUAUAACCAGAUUGAGGCUGCACAAACAGGUGAUGUCUUAGCUGGUACACCUGAUGAAAUGAACCAGUGGGACAGACGAGGGAAUCCAUCAUUGUCCAUGUGGAGAAGUUGAUGACAUUAUGUUACAAGUCAGCCAUCCGUCCCAUUACCAAGCACAAUACGUUUAUAAAACAAUGUAAAAUGUGAUAUGGUAAUAUUGAAGCAUAUGUUUAUAAAACAAUGUAAAUUGUGAUAUGGUAAUAUUGAAGCAUACAUUCCUGUCAUCAUUUACAUACACAUAAAAUACAUUUUAUAUAUUUUUAUGUAAAUAAAAAAAUGUACUAAGAUUUAUUUAUACAGUUGUUUAUCAUAAUAUUUAUAUUUGUUUCUGUAUGAAGGUGACACAUCAUGGUUUUUUCAUGUGUUGUUUAUUGUGUUCAAACACUGGUGUGAUUAAACAAUUACCAGUGUUAGUUUUAAUCAUCUUAAUUAUAGAUAGAUGGUUGAUUUUGUACAAGCUGUUCAAUUUGCAGUGCACUUUGUAGACAAGACAAGACAAUAAUUUAUUUUGUAUGUAAAUAUAUCAAAUAGGAAUUAUUUCACAGUAUUCAUCACAAAUACAGAUUUUUUUUGGCAAGAAAAUCUAAAUUGCCAAUGGCUGUGUUCCAGACCAUAUGAGUAUUUGGACCGUACGCGUAUGGUCUGGACCGUAUGCGUACUUUUUCAAAAUAUGCAUACGGUCGGACCGUACGCGUACGGUCUGACUGAUAUUAAGAAGUUGGUCAAGCUUAUUAGAUACAAAUGUAUAUAACAGAUCAACAUGACUUAUAUCUCCAAUUAAUAUAAAAAGUUCAACAGCAUUUGACAUAAAAACUUAAUAUUUUAACUAUUUAAAAAGACUACGCUUAUUUAAUCUGUUAAUUUCCUGUAUUUUGCAGGCCGGUAAUUCAUUAAUUGCAGCUCAGUAUGCUCAUUGAAAUUGAAGUUAUCGGAAGUAAACAUAAUGUGGGAGGACAAUUGCUUUAGAAUAUUUAUGAACUUUACAAAAGAAAUGCAUACGCAAAGGAACAUGCAUUAACAAAACAUGUAAAUGUAAAAAUACGACGUUCUUAUUAGAAGCAAGUGUCACCUUCGGCCAGAGUAACAAAAUAGAAUUCACGGAUAUACAAUUAAGCAAAUAUUUAAUUUCAAUUGUUCGCUUAUUCACUUUAUCAUCGGCCAUCUAUUUUGUAAUAAUAACAAUUUGUAUAACUAAAAAUAAAGAUUUUGAUAAAUGUUUGUUUAAAUUUAACCCAUAUGAUCCCAAAACGUAUGAUCAGCUGGACCGUACGCGUACGGUCCAAAUACUCAUAUGGUCUGGAACAGCUGUUUUAAAGCAUUAUAAAAAAAUAAAUUGUCAUAGUUUUCUCAUAUUUCACUAAUAUUUAAUUCAGGGAUGAUUUUUGGUUGUGUAUUAUUAUGAGGUUACUGUAGCCAGUGUUUUCUCUUCAAAGUCUUGUUGUAAACGAAACAUGUUGUACGUAAAUUUCAGUUUGUAUUGUUUUUCACAAAAAAAAAAUUAAGAAAAUACUUAACUGUUUCUACUGUAAAAGUUUGGUAUAGUCAGCAAUGUUGGUGGAGUGUGUAUUAAAGUUUUAUAUUUGACCAAUAGUAGAUUGAUAGUACAACAAUGUACACUAAUAGUUAAGUAAGAUGAAAGUGCAGAUUCAUAUUACCUUUAGUUAUAAGUUUGAUUUUUGCCAUAUUUUCAUAUGUUAGUUUUAUAUAUUCCAAUAUAAAAGAUGCCGUCUUGUUAUAAUUAAAGUUGAAAUUUGUAAAAUUGUAUAGUUGUAAAAUUUGUAAAAUUGUAUAGUUGUAAAAUUUGUAAAAUUGUACAGUUGUAAAAUGGUUCAAAGGGAGAUAACUACAAUGCUGACUUGCUUGGUCUGUGAGAGAAUAACCAAGCUAAGGAUUUUUUUAGUAUGAAAAGAACUUUAUUAAUAUCGGACAAUUUUAUUUAAAAAAAAACGUUUUUCUUAACUUUGCGCAUUUCACCUUGGAUUGGAAAACAUUUUCCAGAGAAAAAUAAUAAUUUAUGGUAUUUAUUUUAAUUGCAG